rnacentral:rRNA from 1 species
GAUGAACGCUGGCGGCGUGCCUAACACAUGCAAGUCGAACGGACUUACAUUGAAGCCUAGCGAUAUGUAAGUUAGUGGCGGACGGGUGAGUAACGCGUGGGUAACCUGCCUUGUACUGGGGGACAACAGUUGGAAACGACUGCUAAUACCGCAUAAGCGCACAGCUUCGCAUGAAGCAGUGUGAAAAACUCCGGUGGUACAAGAUGGACCCGCGUCUGAUUAGCUGGUUGGUGAGGUAACGGCCCACCAAGGCGACGAUCAGUAGCCGGCCUGAGAGGGUGAACGGCCACAUUGGGACUGAGACACGGCCCAAAACUCCUACGGGAGGCAGCAGUGGGGAAUAUUGGGCAAUGGGCGAAAGCCUGACCCAGCAACGCCGCGUGAAGGAAGAAGGCCUUGGUGUAAACUCUUUUAAGAGGGACGAAGAAGUGACGGUACCUCUUGAAUAAGCCACGGCUAACUAACGUG